GACGAACGCUGGCGGCGUGCUUAACACAUGCAAGUCGAACGGAAAGGCCCUGCUUUUGUGGGGUGCUCGAGUGGCGAACGGGUGAGUAACACGUGAGUAACCUGCCCUUGACUUUGGGAUAACUUCAGGAAACUGGGGCUAAUACCGGAUAGGAGCUCCUGCUGCAUGGUGGGGGUUGGAAAGUUUCGGCGGUUGGGGAUGGACUCGCGGCUUAUCAGCUUGUUGGUGGGGUAGUGGCUUACCAAGGCUUUGACGGGUAGCCGGCCUGAGAGGGUGACCGGCCACAUUGGGACUGAGAUACGGCCCAGACUCCUACGGGAGGCAGCAGUGGGGAAUAUUGCACAAUGGGCGGAAGCCUGAUGCAGCAACGCCGCGUGAGGGAUGAAGGCCUUCGGGUUGUAAACCGCUUUCGCCUGUGACGAAGCGUGAGUGACGGUAAUGGGUAAAGAAGCACCGGCUAACUACGUG
rnacentral:rRNA from 1 species